rnacentral:rRNA from 1 species
UACGUAGGGGGCAAGCGUUGUCUGGAUUUAUUGGGCGUAAAGAGCGUGUAGGCGGUUAGGUAGGUCCGUUGUGAAAACUCGAGGCUCAACCUCGAGACGUCGAUGGAAACCAUCUGGCUAGAGUCCGGAAGAGGAGAGUGGAAUUCCUGGUGUAGCGGUGAAAUGCGCAGAUAUCAGGAAGAACACCCGUGGCGAAGGCGGCUCUCUGGUACGUGACUGACGCUGAGACGCGAAAGCGUGGGGAGCAAACAGG